UACAGAGGUGGCAAGCGUUGUUCGGAAUUACUGGGCGUAAAGGGCGCGUAGGCGGCCGCCUAAGUCAGACGUGAAAUCCCCCGGCUUAACCUGGGAACUGCGUCUGAUACUGGGUGGCUUGAGUUCGGGAGAGGGAUGCGGAAUUCCAGGUGUAGCGGUGAAAUGCGUAGAUAUCUGGAGGAACACCGGUGGCGAAGGCGGCAUCCUGGACCGAUACUGACGCUGAGGCGCGAAAGCUAGGGGAGCAAACGGG
rnacentral:rRNA from 1 species